GGGGGUGACUGGCUUCGACGGGAAUCAAGAGGUCAACAGAGCGUGUCGAGCUCUCGGAGUCUCGUAAAACCUUCGGGAAAACAUUAAGUGCCAACGAUAACUUGGCUCUCGCGGCUUAAUUGACCGCGACGUCCCUCCUCUCUUUGCCUGCGGGUGAGGAAGGGACGACACACUGCAGGCUGGUCCAAAGCCGGUGCUCAGCGGCGGCGGACGAGAACAUGCUGGGCUAGCGGGUGCUCUAAGCCGGUCGGUGGGCGUGGGUAACUGCGAAUAACAAAUCAUCGGCUACACACGUAGGGCUGUUGCGCUGAAUGUUCUCGGACAGGGGUUCGAUUCCCCUCACCUCCACCA
rnacentral:tmRNA from 1 species